rnacentral:tRNA from 2 species
GGCAACUUGGCCGAGCGGUUAUGGCGCCAGUUUCAGGUACAACCAACCUACUGGUUCGAAAGAGCGUGGGUUCGAGUCCCACAGUUGUCA